UGAGUGCAGUUUGAAUUUUUUUUUUUUUCUGGGAUGCUUGUUUUCUUGUGAAAAAUACAGGUCUCCAGAUCGUGUGCCAAAACCGCUUCUGCGGCCCCAGAGAGGAAGGGAGAGGGAGAGAGAGAAACAUCAAUUGUGAGAAGGAAUCAUUGAUCAGCUGCGGCCUACAUGCCCCCACCCUGGGGGUCAAGCCCGAAACCCACGCAUGUGCCCAGACCGGAAAUCGAACCUUGUCCUCCUAGUUCAUAGGUGGAUGCUCAACCAUAGCGCCACACCAGCCGGACAAUAAUUUUUAUAUUGAUUAUAUGUUGAAAUGAUAAAACUUUUGAAUUAUCAGGUUAAAUAAAAAUAUUAAAUUUAAGUUCA